AAAUCAAUUAUCUAAAAACCAAGGAAGCGCACUAUCAUCUCCCAUCGACUUUCCCUCCACGAAUGAAUUACUUUGAAGAAAUCAAGUGGUAUCCUCAAACUCUUUAAAAAAAAUAAAAAUAAAUAAGUGCUCAAAAGCAUUCAACUAAGCAGUUGUACACAGCAAAUCACCAUAGACACUAGAAAUCUAAAUAAAAACACCAGCUUUUCUACAUAUGUACUUACGAUUUACCAAUUCAGUGCUAAAAAUGGCAUAUUAAGCAAUAGAAAAAUGACACAAAACGCUCACAUAACUGGUUGACAACUCUACCUUAAAUUUCUCCAGAGUGCAGAGCUCCAAAAGCACGAACAUUUAACAAGGUAGUAAUGGAGAGGAAACGGAGAGAGCAGUCACUCGAUCUCGAUUGGUAUUGGGUAGGCUAAUUGGGAAUGAAACGCUAUAAAUGUGACCAAUAAAUUGCUUCCAUUUCCACUCCCAUAAAAAUUUUUUUAAAAAAAAUAUUUCAUUUUUCAAAGUUGAAGCUAUUAAUAGAUCGGUUUCGGGAAAAGCUGUCUCUCACGAGGCGUGUCUUUUCUGAAAAAAGAGAAAAGAAAAAGCAUAUCGAAGGACAGAAUUCAUAAGGGCAAGAGCUCCAGAAGCAAAGAGUGAAAACAAAUUAUAAAGGAGGAGGAUGAGAGGAGAGGAGAGGAGAGGAGAAGAGAGAGACAGGAAAGAAGAAGAAGAGGUGAUAAAGAGAGGAAGAAAUCAAUAAGUACCUUAUUGUGGUCUCAAAUCUUCUUCAAUGUUGUUGUUGACGUCGUGAGAGAACAUAUUAGGGCUUUUAACUAUUUAUUGCUUUAAAACAAAAAAAUUAAAGAAAAAAAUGAAAAGUUUCUAUUAUUUCUCAAAGGUGUCGCUUUUAACGCCUCACGCCUCUCGCCUUGGAGCCUCAGGCGAGCUUAGGCAAGUCGACUCACCUCAGCCAGGUGAGGCAUCAAGGGGUCGCCUCGCCUCGCCUCGCCUAGCUCCUCGCCCGGCGCCUUAGAGUGCCUUUAAUAACACUGAUGGAGGGUAAUUCACGCUGGCCACUUCUUAAUUAGAAUUUUUUGUAGAAGAUCCAUCUAUCUGUAACUUGUGGAUUGUGAAAAUUUCAGCAUCCUUAACAGAAAAAAGAACCACUUCAUUAGAGCUGCAAAUGGAGUAUAAAAGAGGAUGUUGGUUCUACUUGGUUUACAAUUCUUUAAUUUUGUUGCUCUAUAAUAAGGUUUUGACUUAUGGGCUAUCAAUGAAUAUGAAUUGUCAUGCUUGUGAUUCUCUUUGCUGAAUUUUGAACCAUUAGUCUGUGUAAGUUAUACACAAUAUGGUUUUUUUGUGCCAUAUUAAGAAUUUAAGAUUGGGGUUGUUAUAUUUAUUCAUAUUUUCUGUGAUUGGAGACUUCUGGUUAUAAUUUGCCAAAUGAUUGAAGCAACUUCCUGGAUUAUAAAUUUCAUCAAUAUGGAGAUGAUAUAACCAUAACGUUGGACAUGUCUGUGUUACUGUCCAGGGACAUGAUUCGGGCAAUACGUGCUUGCAAAACUGCUGCAGAGGAACGUGCUGUCGUAAGAAAAGAAUGUGCUGCCAUUCGUGCUGCAAUUAAUGAAAAUGAUCAAGAUUAUAGACACCGCAACUUGGCAAAGCUCAUGUUUAUUCACAUGCUUGGUUAUCCAACACAUUUUGGUCAAAUGGAAUGCCUGAAAUUGAUUGCAUCAGCUGGAUUUCCAGAGAAGAGAAUAGGAUAUCUUGGCCUCAUGCUACUUCUUGAUGAAAGACAAGAAGUUCUAAUGUUGGUCACAAACUCAUUAAAGCAAGAUCUCAAUCACUCAAACCAGUAUAUUGUAGGGCUUGCUCUUUGUGCUUUGGGAAAUAUCUGUUCGGCAGAAAUGGCUCGUGAUCUUGCACCAGAAGUGGAAAGAUUGCUGCAAUUUCGGGAUCCAAACAUUCGAAAAAAGGCUGCAUUGUGCUCCAUACGGAUUGUAAAGAAAGUCCCUGAUCUGGCAGAAAAUUUCAUAAAUCCAGCUGCUACCUUACUUAGAGAGAAGCAUCAUGGAGUCUUAAUAACAGGCAUUCAACUUUGUACAGAUCUAUGUAAAGUCAGUCCAGAAGCCCUUGAAUAUUUUAGAAAGAAAUGCACAGAAGGUUUGGUCCGAACUCUAAAAGAUGUUGUGAACAGUCCAUAUGCACCUGAGUAUGACAUUGCUGGCAUUACGGACCCUUUUCUCCAUAUCAGAUUGCUUAAAAUUCUGCGCAUAUUAGGCCAAGGGGAUGCUGAUGCUAGUGACACUAUGAAUGACAUACUUGCACAGGUGGCAACAAAAACUGAGUCAAACAAAAAUGCAGGCAAUGCUAUUUUAUAUGAAUGUGUGGAAACUAUCAUGAGCAUAGAAGAUAAUGGUGGUUUACGAGUGCUUGCUAUUAACAUCUUGGGAAGAUUCUUGUCAAACCGUGACAACAAUAUCAGAUAUGUUGCAUUGAACAUGCUGAUGAAGGCCAUUACUGUAGAUGCUCAAGCAGUGCAAAGACACCGGGCAACAAUCUUGGAAUGUGUUAAGGAUUCAGAUGCUUCAAUUCGUAAAAGAGCCCUUGAACUUGUUUACCUUCUAGUGAAUGAAAGCAAUGUAAGGCCUUUGACAAAAGACCUAAUUGAAUAUUUGGAAGUAAGUGAUCAAGAAUUUAAGGGAGAUCUUACUGCCAAAAUUUGCUCCAUUGUUGAAAAGUUCUCCCCUGAGAAAAUUUGGUAUAUUGAUCAGAUGCUCAAGGUUCUUACUGAGGUAAAAAUCUGAAUGUCAAGUCCUUUAUAUAGUAUUUGUAACAUGUUUGAAGUUUGUUGUGGUACAUUUCAAUGUUUUUAUCUGUAGCAUGAUCUUCAUCCUUGCUUAAAAGGCUUUGCUAUUGGGGAUCACUGAAAUAAGCAAAAAUAUUAUUUCUAUGGUAAAUAUCACCAAUGGGUAUUUCAGUCAAGAUACCAGAAUCAGGCAUUGGUACUUUUUCCUGAAUCAAUUGGAACAGGACCAUAUUGUGCUUUGUUUAGCUUAAGGCAUGAUCUCUCAAUAUCCUUCUCCAGGUUUCUUUGUUCUGUAUUCUUACCCUCAGAGUCUCAGACAAUUUCACCUACAACUAUAGCUCUCUUAAUUGUUCCAUUACUAGACUUAUAGUUGUUACAUUCUCUCCAAUUAUGAAUUGUCCCUCUUGUUCUAAUUUCUUCAGUCCUUUCCACAUUUGCUGUAGAUCAAUUGGCAAAAGAUACCUUUGUGGUAUUUUGGUGUGAUGUGUUUUAUCACAAAUAAUGCCUUGGGCGUGACGCACCUAAUUGAUCUAUUUGUUAAGUUCAAUACCUGCUUCAGCUAUGCAUUCGUCAAUAUAUUGCUGCUGUUGCUUUAUAAAUCUUAAAAUAACCUUGGAGCCUGUAAAUGGAGGCAGUUUCUGGAGAGUUAAAGAAGUCAUGUAAAAAAAUAUAACUAAAACAAUCACUAAGAAAGAUGAGCCCCAAACAAAUAGAUUGAGUAUAUAGUAGACCAAUCUGUCAAACCAUAUAGCAUCAGUUAAUCUUUGAUGUCGGCAUUUUUUAUGAUAAUAUAUUUUCUUGUAUAAAAUUCUGAUCUGAAUGCCAUGCUUAGUAGGCUGGAAAUUUUGUAAAAGAUGAAGUGUGGCAUGCCCUUAUUGUUGUUAUAAGCAAUGCUUCCGACCUCCAUGGAUAUACAGUCAGGGCAUUAUACAGAGCGUUUCAAACAUCAGCUGAGCAGGAAACCCUUGUUCGAGUUGCAGUAUGGUGCAUUGGAGAAUACGGUGACAUGUUGGUCAACAAUGUUGGGGUGCUUGACAUAGAGGAUCCUAUAAAAACUGUCACAGAGUCUAAUGCUGUGGAUGUUGUUGAGAUUGCUAUAAAGCGUCAUGCCUCUGAUCUCACUACUAAAGCAAUGGCUUUGAUUGCUUUAUUGAAGCUCUCUUCCCGGUUCCCAUCUUGCUCAGAGAGGAUCAAGGAUAUAAUUAUGCACUAUAAAGGAAGCCUUGUGCUUGAAUUGCAGCAAAGAUCCCUUGAGUUUAAUUCUAUUAUUGAGAAGCAUCAGAAUAUCAGGUCUACUCUGGUUGAAAGAAUGCCAGUUUUGGAUGAGGCUACUUUCAGUGGAAGGAGGGCUGGUUCUUUGCCAGCAACUGUUUCAACUUCUAAUGGGGCAUCACUUAAUCUUCCAAAUGGAGUUGCUAAGCACUCUGCAGCUCCUCUUGUAGAUUUACUUGAUCUUUCAGAUGACGCUCCUGCACCAGGCUCUUCAGGCAGCGACUUUCUUCAUGAUCUUCUUGGUGUUGAUUUAGCACCAGCGUCCACACAACCAGGCAUAAGCCAGGCUCCCAAAUCUGGCACAGAUGUUCUACUUGAUCUUCUGUCCAUUGGAACAACUAAUCCUGUACAAAGCAAUUCAUCUGCACUUGACAUAUUAUCACCUGGUCAAGAUAACCAAAAACCAAUUGCCGCAUUAGAUGUACUCUCAUCACCUUUAGCUUCAGCACAAGCCAAUUCUUCUGUUGGAGCUUCUUCCAUGAUAGAUUUGUUGGAUGGCUUUGCCCCUAGCCCAUUAAAGCAUGAGGAUAAUGGCCAAGUUUAUCCAUCUAUAGUUGCAUUUGAAAGCAGCAACUUGAGGAUUACAUUUAACUUCUCAAAGCCACCUGGGAACCCGCAAAUGACAUUAAUCCAGGCCACUUUCAUAAAUUUGUCAUCUGAUGCAUUUACAGAUUUUGUUUUCCAGGCAGCCGUUCCAAAGUUUCUUCAGUUGCACUUGGAUCCAGCUAGCCGCAAUACACUACCUGCAAGUGAUAAUGGGUCGGUCACACAAAGCUUGAGGGUAACUAACAGCCAACAUGGCAAGAAAGCACUUGUCAUGCGCAUAAGGAUAGCAUACAAGCUGAACAACAAAGAUAUGUUGGAAGAAGGACAAAUCAACAAUUUCCCUCAGGAUUUAUGAAGUUAAUCGAUCCAGAUAGUGUUAAUGAUGGCAUGUAUGAGCUCCAAUUUUUUCGUCCUCUGAGAAGCAGUUUCUUACUCUUUGUAGUGAUAGUAAAAUAUCUUGUUUCUAUUGUUCUACUCGAGGGCAGUAUUGUAGUAGUUGAUAUUUUUUUUGGCCUGAGUUUGAUUUUGCCCAAUGUCAUAAAUGCUUUUCUUAAAAUUUUCCGCGUAGGUGAUCUGUGUACAUUAUUACAAAAGUUCUGUACGGAGCUGUGAGAAUUGAAGUUUUGCCCUUUUUGUUUUGGUUUGUUUUUUUUUUUUUU
rnacentral:misc_RNA from 1 species